rnacentral:rRNA from 1 species
CAUGCCGUAAACGAUGAUUACUAGGUGUGGGGGGUCUGACCCCUUCCGUGCCGGAGUUAACACAAUAAGUAAUCCACCUGGGAAGUACGACCGCAAGGUUGAAACUCAAAGGAAUUGACGGGGGCCCGCACAAGCAGUGGAGUAUGUGGUUUAAUUCGAAGCAACGCGAAGAACCUUACCAGGUCUUGACAUCUACCUAAUCACCCAGAGAUGGGUGAGUGCCUUUCGGGGAAAGGUAAGACAGGUGG